CCCAUUUGUGGACAGUGGGUCAUGGGACUGAAGGAACCAUGUUACACAUGCCUGAGUUUUCUUUCCAAGCUCAGAAACCAUAUCGAACACCCCUCCCUUGGGGAGAAGUGAGUGAGCAGGUGGAGAGACGAUAGUAAUGUUAGUAUGGUGGAACUUCUUCCCCAUAGAUGGAAACACUGAGGGCUAAGAAGAAGGGCCUCUCCUCCAACAUGUGUUAUCUAGCAAGGCUGGUUCUAUUUAAGAAUGAUAUAUAGUCUAGUGUAAUAGAAUACAAUAUGCCUAGCUCUAAAAUUAUGUUGGAAAAAAAUCAACAUUACGAUGUGCUAUAUUCAGUCAAUGAGUAAAUAUUUCUGUGCCUGCCACAUGCUCAGCAUUAUAAUUAGAGCCACCGUGAAAAAUACUUAUCCGUGAUCCUUUAUGCUGUCAAAGCCUAAAUUCCCCACUUAACCAAGAAUCCUGGAUAAUUCCCAAAAAACAAAUUUAUUAUUUGUUUCUAUGGUUGUGUGUUUGUCAAAAAUUGAAGCAUUAAUAGAAAUAAGAACAAUUUAGACUAUAAAAGCCAUAGGCUUAUAAAAAUGCUAGCAUCAGCACAUUCCAAAACUGCCUGCCCCAUCCCUUGAUGGUAUGUGUGAUUGCUGUCACAAAACUAGCAGUUAGAAUCUUUUGUAACUGAGGAUAUAAACCAAAUUUAGAAAUAUGUCUUUACUAAAGGGUGGAAACUUAGAAACUGAAGUGGAUUUACCACAAUGAACUAGAACUAAAUGUACCAACACAGGCUCAAAACACUCUAAGAUAAUUUUUCAAAUUUAUUUAAAAUUAAGAAAAGAAAACUGGGUAACAUUGAAUCACAAACAGUUGAAAACACUGGGGUUACAUAGUAUUAACAUAUAAUUACAUGAUCAUUUGUGAUAAACAGAAAAUUUAAAAAAAGAAAAAGGAGAAAAAAAUAAAAAAUAAAGAAAAACAAAAAACAAAAAAAUAGAAAAUGAAAUGAGAAAAAAAUUGAUCAAUGGCAAAUCACUGGAGAUAAAUCAUUGUGUACAGAUUUCCCUAUUGAAAAAAAUAACAAUAAUUAAACACCAGCUAAGCCUUCUUUCUUCUUUUGAUUUUUGUGAAAAAUCGCAAUAAGAUGUAUCUCUAGAUCGUGUGCUUGCCAGAAUCUUUGCUGUUUCUUAGGUGAAAGAUCAUUGAUAAGAAUCUGGCAUGGAGAACAGUCAAGGAAGCAUUGCAGCUCAAUACAAAACGGUGGCCAGGGAAGAUCCACUGAAUUAGGAGUCAGCAGUCAUUAUUCUACUACCUGCUAAUCUUCUAUGAGCUUCGUCAAGUCAUUUAAGCUUGGUACCCGUCAGUUUCCUCAUCUGAAAACUGAGAAAAGUUGUUUCAAAUUGUCUAAGUCCAUUCCAGCUUGAUCAUACUAGCAUCUUAUGUGCAGCUUCUUAAAGUCCAGCUCACACCUCUGUCAACUCCCUGUAUAAUAUGACUUCCAAAAAAACACCUGUGGUUUGGUUAUACAUAUAUAUGGACAUAUAUAUGUUAUACAUAUAUAUUGGUUAUACCUAUAUAUGGACAUAUAUAGGUCCACUCUUCUCAUAUCCACAGCUGCUAUCAAUAUAAUAAAUGGGCAGUAUCUGUAGUAUCACUUAUUAAUAAAAUGAAGUUUUUCUGACAUAUACACAACCCAGACUAUUAGGUCAUUAUCUCAAUAAUCCCUUAGUGUAGGGAAAAGGGCAGAAAACACUUUCAUUUUCUGUCUUGAGCAUUAGCAAGCCACAGUCCAUAUAAUUUAAUUAAAAUAACAAAUGAAUAAUCUAUAAUUGACCUGUGUCUGUUUCUCCAAGCCAAAGGGUAAGUCAGAUAUACAUGAUUUUAAAAUCUCUUGUUAUUUUCAAUAUAAAUUGUUCGGCUAAGUAUCCAACAAAUUGGAAGAAUUAAAAUGUUAAUAUCCAGU
rnacentral:lncRNA from 10 species